rfam:Haemonchus placei strain MHpl1 genome assembly, scaffold: HPLM_scaffold0001515
GGUUCAAACUUGAAGUAGAGUAUAUUAGUAUGGUCAGCUCAUCCUACUAACUUACUCUACUUCAAGUUUAUGCCC